GCGGGCGUCUUCUAGUGGCAAGAAAGAGGCUUCCCAAGCCUAGAACACGGGUUCGAUUCCCGUCGCCCGCU
rnacentral:tRNA from 1 species